rnacentral:rRNA from 1 species
AAAAGAAACCAACAGGGAUUGCCUUAGUAACGGCGAGUGAAGCGGCAAAAGCUCAAAUUUGAAAUCGGCCCCCAGGUCGAGUUGUAAUUUGUAGAUUGUAUCUUGAGAGCGGAUUAAAGUCUGUUGGAACACAGCGCCUUAGAGGGUGACAGCCCCGUAAAAUCUAUUCUCAUUGUAAGAUACUUUCGAAGAGUCGAGUUGUUUGGGAAUGCAGCUCUAAGUGGGAGGUAAAUUCCUUCUAAAGCUAAAUAUUGACGAGAGACCGAUAGCGAACAAGUACUGUGAAGGAAAGAUGAAAAGCACUUUGAAAAGAGAGUGAAAAAGUACGUGAAAUUGUUAAAAGGGAAGGGUAUUGAAUCAGACUUGGUGCUGUUGUUCAACUGUGUUUUGGCACAGUGUACUCAGCAGUACUAGGCCAAGGUGGGGUGUUUGGGAGUGAAAAAGAAGUUGGAACGUAACUCUUCGGAGUGUUAUAGCCUACUUUCAUAGCUCCUCAGGCGCCUCAGGACUGCGCUUCGGCAAGGACCUUGGCAUAAUGAUUCUAUACCGCCCGUCUUGAAACACGGACCAAGGAGUCUAACGUCUAUGCGAGUGUUUGGGUGUAAAACCCGUACGCGUAAUGAAAGUGAACGUAGAUAGGAGCAGUAAUGCGCACUAUCGACCGAUCCUGAUGUUUUCAGAUGGAUUUGAGUAAGAGCAUAGCUGUUGGGACCCGAAAGAUGGUGAACUAUGCCUGAAUAGGGUGAAGCCAGAGGAAACUCUGGUGGAGGCUCGUAGCGGUUCUGACGUGCAAAUCGAUCGUCGAAUUUGGGUAUAGGGG